rnacentral:tRNA from 1 species
GCGGUAGUAGCUCAGUUGGCAGAGCGUUGGCUUCCCAAGCCGAAGGUCGCGGGUUCGAGCCCCGUCUACCGCU